rnacentral:lncRNA from 1 species
UGGUGGGAGCUGCUCUUCUCUACUCUCCAGGACUCAGAAGACCUCUAUGGACAAACACUGAUUAACACUUUCUCAGACAGUUCAGGAGACAGACUUUGAGAAUGAAGAGGAGCCAACUAACCACACUGACCCAAUAGGACCUCCAGACAUUUCCACAUCAAGAGCUGGUGGUCCAGUCCAGCCACACCUUAAAGUCUUUCCCAGGACUCUCCAGGGUGACAGACGAAGACAAUUUCAAGCCUCAUGGUACAAUUUACACCCAUGGAUAGAAUACUCCCAGUGCCAGGACUCAGUGUACUGUUUCGCUUGUAGAAACUUUGGCCUUCUAAAUACACAUUCAGUCUUUACAUCUGUUGUGGGAUAUAAGAAUUGGAAAAAGGCCACAUUCAGAGAUGGUGGAUUUGCUGGACAUGCAAAGU